rnacentral:RNase_P_RNA from 1 species
UGAGUUGACCAGACCGUCGUCGCUUACCUUCAUUUUGAUAGGUAAGGGGAGGAAAGUCCGGGCUCCACAGGGCAGGGUGCCAGAUAACGUCUGGGGGGCGUGAGCCCACGACAAGUGCAGCAGAGAGAAGACCGCCGAUGACUUCUUCGGAAGAACAGGUAAGGCUGAAAGGGUGCGGUAAGAGCGCACCGCGCAACUGGUAACAGUUUGUGGCGAGGUAAACUCCACCCGGAGCAAGACCAAAUAGGCUUCCUUAAGGUAUGGCCCAUAUCGGAAGCGGGUAGGUUGCUUGAGCCUGUGAGUGAUUGCAGGCCUAGACGAAUGACGGUUCACGACAGAACCCGGCUUAUCGGUCGACUCACCUC